GCCCCCGUAGCUCAGUGGUAGAGCAGCGGCCUUUUAAGCCGAAUGUCGCAGGUCCGAUCCCUGCCGGGGGCA
rnacentral:tRNA from 1 species